UGGGGAAUAUUGGACAAUGGGCGCAAGCCUGAUCCAGCAAUGCCGCGUGAGUGAUGAAGGCCUUAGGGUUGUAAAGCUCUUUCGCCGAUGACGAUGAUGACGGUAAUCGGAGAAGAAGCCCCGGCUAACUUCGUGCCAGCAGCCGCGGUAAUACGAAGGGGGCUAGCGUUGUUCGGAGUUACUGGGCGUAAAGGGCGCGUAGGCGGCCGAUUUAGUCAGGUGUGAAAGCCCAGGGCUCAACUCUGGAAUUGCACUUGAUACUGGUUGGCUUGAGUACGGGAGAGGAUAGUGGAAUUCCCAGUGUAGAGGUGAAAUUCGUAGAUAUUGGGAAGAACACCAGUGGCGAAGGCGGCUAUCUGGACCGUAACUGACGCUGAGGCGCGAAAGCGUGGGGAGCAAACAGGAUUAGAUACCCCCGUAGUCC
rnacentral:rRNA from 1 species